rnacentral:miRNA from 1 species
UGUGUGUGUGUGUGCGUGCUCGCGCGCGCGUGUGUGUGUGCACACACACACACACACACACACACACACACACACACACACACACACACACA